rnacentral:lncRNA from 1 species
UUGAAAAACAUGUUCUGACCUGUUUUGAAACCAUUCCCGAAACAUUAUACAAAGAUCGAACUGUGCACAAACAAGUAAAUCAAACCAAACCUCUACUGAACACAAACAAGUAAACCAUGUUGCAUUCCUUUGCUUGUAAUAAACUUUACAACCAAACAUCAAACAAAAUCGACGAACUUUUACGCAUCAUACAAACAGAAUCAAACUGAAUCAAACUUCUAAUCAUCAUACACGCAAAAUCAAAACAAAUGAAAGAAAUUGAAAAAAAAAAAUCGACAAUUAAUACUUGUUCGGUUUC